GUGUGCUCUUCCGACCUCGCAGGUACUUGAAAGCGGGAACGUCGAAAAAACGGCGCUCGCCUCGAUUACAAAUCUCACGGCGAAGAUGUCCGAAGAUAGCGAAAGAAUAUUCGAGGCACCCCAAUGGGGCCCAUUAGGAUCCAAAGGUAGUUGGGCCAGUCCUCCUAUAUCUGACUGUCCUUCUUUCUCUCUUAUUCUCUCGAUGAAUCCAUGGUAGAGGAGGCGGGGGAUGGUUGGCCGGUCAAGCCACAUUCCGUUGGCCAACCGGCUCCUUGGAACCCUUCCUCCCCCUCUUUGGUAGACGGUUCUCUAUAUACAAGCUCUCGCCUUCUUAUGCACCACUACGAUAUGUGCCCACAAGACCACCAAUAUUAUUUCGACUAGACAGCGGCCGGCUCGACGCAACCUUGUCAGAGAGCAAUGCAUAGGUAUCUGCUUUCACGGAGUGAAACGUUACUGGGAAGAAAACCUCAAAGGUCGAGUUUAACACGCGUACUGCGUGCCUGCUCGCCACGCUGCUCUUCAAUUUGUAAUUUUCGACAAAAAAAAAAAAAAAAAAAAAGAAAAAAUAGAAGACAACACGACGGCGUCAUUUCACGAUCCUCUUCAUCCUUUUCUCGUCCUUUAAGGCUCUACGUCAAUUUCAUUCGAUUCGAUCCGUUCGCGAUCACCCGUUCGUUCUUCUUGGCCUAUUCUUCUGUACUUACUAUCUCUCUCAGUCUAAUUAUUCUCGAGUAACGUUCGGACUUUUGCUAUAUACUCAGGAUUAAGUAUCAAUUCCACGAAUAAUUCCUAGUCGAUAGAAAAAUGGAUAAA